UAUUUACUGUGACUCGUUCAGCCAAGACGCGUCACUGGUGCAGAUCUCAUCAGUAACGCAUUGUAUCAAAACGUGUCACUAAUGGUAAUUGAAAAAAACAAAAAAAACAAGAAAAAUCUAUAUAGGGCCAUGUUUGUUCAGUACCUAUUCUUUACACAGCUGCAGUAGUAGCACCUGCAGAUCUAUACCUAUUCUUUACACAGAUGCAGCAGUAGCAGCUGCAGAUCUAUCUCGUAAUACACAUGUUUCAUUCAAUCCAACAAUCAAAUCAUUUACAAGUACGCAAUAAAGUAUCUUGCACAAGGUGCAGUGUGACCUAAAAGAUCUCUAACAGUACAUGGCCGUGGCCCGAAGAUUUCUAACAGUACAUGAGGUAACUCCUCUAUGGUUUUUUCUUGAUGCACAAUACUUAUUGCAAUGUAACAUGUAUAUAUCUAUGAAUAUUGCUAAAUGGCUAACAUAGACUUUCGCAUGUUUUAGAAUAAGGACUAGCUCAAGUUACUUCUCCAAUUCCCGGUCUUGGCAAACAGCUGGACACUGAUUGAUGGCCAGGAAGGCAUUCUACCUGCAAAAACUAUAGUCAAUUUCCCAGCCUAAGCACACAAUUGGACUAUCACAACAAAAAUAAAUGCUCAAGCCAAGCUAAAUAGGAAGAUUGUCAUAGCUACUUGUUAAUUAACCAUAUAACAGAAGCACUAUUAAAACAAAAAGAAAUACUUAGGCACUACAGAGGUUACAGCUAAUAACAUAAAUCACAAAGAGCACGAACCUGCAAGCUGCCAUGUAAAUAAAUAUCAAAGAAACAAAGGUUGCUAAUAAAUUCAUAUAUCUGAAACAACCACUAUUAAGUAAAACAGACAGAUCUCUCAGAUUCACAGUUCCCAAUUCUACAGUGGUCAUGAGCUUACCAUCAGUAGAUUGUGCAGCCACUAAAGCACAGGUGACAAAAUAGAACUCCAGCACAAUCUGCUUGUUGAAUGUU
rnacentral:lncRNA from 1 species